CCCGGUUAGGCGGAAGAAAAUGGAUGAAUGGAUGCUUUUCAACUCAAAUAUUUUUAAAUUUCAAUUUUACUUUAUGGGACUGGUAGUCAACCUACAGCUUGUCCUUUGCUGGCUUUAUUUUAUCUUUUUAAUUUUUGGUUUUGUUUAUUAAGCCUGUUUCUACAACUUUAAAAUACUGUUUGGUUUGUUUUUUAAAUAUAAGCUUAUGUAUUUAACUUAAAAUAAAUGAGACAAAUGAUUGAUGGACUACUCCGUUAUAAUCUGCUUGACUUUUGCAUCGACUUGAUCUAGUGUUUAAUCUUUAUCAAUGUAUCUUCCCAUUUUGUUAACAAAAUCUACAGUAUAGUUUUGAAAAGGUUGUUUAAGUAUCAAAUAAAAGUAUCAAAUCAAAGUAACAAAUUAAUAACAUUUUGGUGCAUAAUAUUUCCCAGGUGCUUUAAAGUUACUUUUUUGUGUGUUCCUAGACUGCCUUAAUGUGACUCCACUUGAAGAAACUCAGCUCUGGUGUCCCGGGCAGUCCCUGUGGAGCCUCGUUGCUGGACAUGCCUCUGAAUCAGAGCUGCUGAAGAUCCGUUCAGCACUGGGACACUAGACAUGUACACGAAUGUGCACGCUGAGCCAGUGAUGGGGCACGAGGUCUGGCAGGGGAGACAGCAACAUGGAAACCAUAACAGCAGAGCAGAGAAUCCAUCCACACACCCCCAAAGCUGCCCACUCUCUGACCCCCCUGUUGUGAAAGAGCUGGUGUGAGCUGAGGUUAGGAUGUUGCUACAGACUCUCAAAGAGAAAGCCUGCAUGACUGGAAGAGAUGAUAUGGUGCAAUUGUUUGGGUACAAACCUGAAACUAUGCACUACACCCUCAGUCACCAGGAGACAUGUUACAGUAACUCUGUCAGCUUUAAAAAUAGGGAUAAUUUCAGAAGAAGACCAAGCUCUCGUUUAGACCAGUCCAGCGCUGAAGAUGAGUUUGAGUCGAUUAGAGACAAGUUAAAGAGACACACAACGUUAUCACUCAACACAGGUCCGUCUUCUUGUCAGAAAGUGAAGCACUGAUAAAGUUUAUAAAGGGAAAUAUAAAACAACAGCAUCAGGGUGGACCAUGCAUGACAGAACCGUCACUUGCAGAAUGUCAGCAGGACAAAUGUCUGUCUCUCCACUGCACCGAACUUUACACCAAAUUUGACUUUUCUGUGCCAUCUUACACCUAAACCAUCAAGUUCACAUCCUCCCACCAAGACUUCACUGUUCAGGACUCUUCAGAAGUACUCGCCUUCCCCUGAAAACCAUAUAUCAUCACAGAGCUGUAUUCGCUUACCGAACACAGAUUUGGGAGAGAAAAAACCCCAUCUCUGCCUGGACUUCAAGAGAUAGUAAUACCUCCUCCUCCUCACUCCGUCGUGUCUCUGAUGCAGGCAGUCACAGCAGCGGUGACACUGGCCGUUCCGUGUCAACAAACGGGAAAUUAAAGGCACAAGAUGGGCAGCAGACGAGCAGCAGCGGAAACAGCUCAGAGUCAACAGUGGUGCGGUUGGAUAAUUGUGAAUGGUUGAGCAGUUCAAGGAGCUCGGCUUUAUCGGAAACCCCUGCACAACCUGACAGAAAGGAGCACAAGAGGUUAGUUCACAGACAAGAAAACUGAACGCCUCAGAAUGGACACCGACAAACAGCAAGGCCCAAACAGCUGCAGCCUGCCUGAUAGUGCCUCGCAUCCUCCAGAAAGACGUGGAGCACAGAGACGGGACACGUGCACUCAGCCACAGUCUGCGGAAACUACUAAUGGGAAAUACGUUGUUUCACCUAAAAGCACACAGGAGGAGAAGACAAAUCAGUCAAUAAGUGACCAGCAGCACACAGACAAAACUCCAGAUUCCCGCAAUAUUUUAUCAGCCAGUUUGUUCUGAAGGAACAAAACUACUCCGACUGAAUCAGAGUGACAGACUGAAAAAAAACUGUUUGUUUUAAACAAUGUUUUUGUUACAAAUCAUACAAAACCACAGAGCUGCUAAUACGUAUAUUUGGAAGCUUGGCAAUGUAACUGCUGCUGUGUAGCUAAAAACAGAGUCUCACUGGGAAACUUGUGUUUUGCUAUAAUAAAUAUACUGACAGACACUGACCAAGGCUGGAGUUUUACAUUCAGGAAAAGCAGCAAAUUUUAUUUAUUUAUUUUGUUCGUUUGACAAAUUAUAUGUGGUUAAGAAAGAAAAUGCUUUUAUAAAAAACAUACACACGCUUAAAAAUAAUUAUUACUUUUAUGUCAAACUAUAGUUCUGUGUCUGUUCUGUACAGUCUGGCCCCUAAAUAUUGUGCAAUUUUAUUGAGGUGUACCACAUAUUUUUGCACAUUUUAAAUAACUAAAAACACAAACAUGCUGUCUGACUCU